rnacentral:rRNA from 1 species
UACGAAGGGGGCUAGCGUUGCUCGGAAUUACUGGGCGUAAAGCGCACGUAGGCGGCUUUCCAAGUCGGGGGUGAAAUCCUGGAGCUCAACUCCAGAACUGCCUUCGAUACUGGAGAGCUCGAGUCCGGGAGAGGUGAGUGGAACUGCGAGUGUAGAGGUGAAAUUCGUAGAUAUUCGCAAGAACACCAGUGGCGAAGGCGGCUCACUGGCCCGGUACUGACGCUGAGGCACGAAAGCGUGGGGAGCAAACAGG